AGUUCAGAUUGCAGGCUGCAACUCGCCUCGCAUGAAGUCGGAAUUGCUAGUAAUCGUAGGUCAGCAUACUACGGUGAAUACGUUCCCGGGCCUUGUACACACCGCCCGUCAAACCAUGAGAGUUGGCAACACCCGAAGUCGGUAGUCUAACCGCAAGGAGGACGCCGCCGAAGGUGGGGUUGAUGAUUAGGGUUAAGUCGUAACAAGGUACC
rnacentral:rRNA from 1 species